rnacentral:rRNA from 1 species
ACUGUAUAAUCCCUGCGGGGGAAAGAUUUAUCGCUAUUAGAUGAGCCUACGUUAGAUUAGCUAGUUGGUAAGGUAAUGGCUUACCAAGGCUAUGAUCUAUAGCUGGUCUGAGAGGACGAUCAGCCACACUGGAACUGAGAUACGGUCCAGACUCCUACGGGAGGCAGCAGUGGGGAAUAUUGGACAAUGGGCGAAAGCCUGAUCCAGCUAUGCCGCGUGAGUGAAGAAGGCCUUCGGGUUGUAAAGCUCUUUCAAUAGGGAAG